AGCUUUGCAGUGGCAGUAUUGUAGCCAAUGAGGUUUAUCUGAGGCACAAUUAUUGCUCAUUGAAACCCAGUGUUCCUUAUGAUAUACUGCAUAUGAUACUUUAUUUUUGAUACUAUCUUCUAGGUA
ensembl:snRNA U4 U4 spliceosomal RNA